GGCGCCCACCGUAAGCCUCCCGGGCCUUGUGAACCUGCAAACCCAAGUCUGAGAGACGAUCCGCCUUCAGCGCUUUCCAGCUUGGCAGAGAGGCUUUCCCGGCGGGGAUCUUUGGUUGGCGCUGGCGAUGCGCGGGGAAGAAAGGCGAGGAGCGGCGUCCAGGCUGGGUGAUGUCCCAGCACGAGUAGGCGGGAUGCGCUCGCUUGGUCCUCCGGGCGCCCGGUCCCUGCCCGCGUCGCGCGCCCACCCCUGGGGACGAGAAGGCGGCCGCCUGAGGACCCCCGCCCGCGACCUCCGCGAGUCUGGAGCGCAGAGGACAGGGUCUGGCUGCUCUUUGGCCUUGGAUGGAAAGUGGGGAAUUGGGUGGGGGGCUGCGGACCCCUUAACGUGGAUUACUUGGUGUGUAUCAGCUGGGCUCAGAAGACCCACGACCUCUUCUCCAUCCGUGGAUUGAUUUGUUCUGCUUAACAGCUGGGUCGCCAAGCUGGAGGUGGAAUCAGAGGUUUCUGGCUGACUCGGUGGGUGCUUUGAACCAGGAAAGGACAAGAAAGAGGUUGGAGUACAGUGGCAUGAUCUCAGCUCACUGCAGCCUCGACUUCCUGGGCUCAAGAAAUCCUCCUGUCUCUGCCUUCCGAGUAGCUGUGAUCACAGUUGUAUGCCAUCAUGCCCAGGUAAUUUUUUUUAUUUUUAUUUUUUUGUAGAGACAGGGUCUCACCAUCUUGCCCAGGCUCGUCUUGAACUCCUGGGCUCAAGCAAUCCUCCUGCCUUGGCCUCCUGAAGUAUGUGAGCCAAUGCGCCUGGCCCUCUCUUUUCUUAUCUCCUUAUCCAUAUGCAAUCACAGAACCUGAGAGGCUGAAGUGGUCUAAAGCAUCACUCUUCUCUAGAUUUAUCUCUGACUAAUGCAGGAAUCCCCUUUCAAAUCAGGCAAGGGAUCGUUCAGCCCAGGGGAGAGAGGACUAUGAGAGAGGCUGAGUGAUACCCAGCCUGAUGGGGAAGCAGUUGAAUUUUAAAGAGUGUUUCAUACACUAUCAGGUGGCCAUGAAUGUCAAUUUCUUAAUGAGAUUUUGUGCUAAAUGCUUUUUGCCCUCUUCCCCAUGUUUGUUCUGGUUUAAAAAAAAAAAAAAAA
rnacentral:lncRNA from 1 species